rnacentral:rRNA from 1 species
AACGAACGCUGGCGGCAUGCCUAACACAUGCAAGUCGAACGAGACCUUCGGGUCUAGUGGCGCACGGGUGCGUAACGCGUGGGAACCUGCCCUUAGGUUCGGAAUAACUCCCCGAAAGGGGUGCUAAUACCGGAUAAUGUCUUCGGACCAAAGAUUUAUCGCCUUUGGAUGGGCCCGCGUUGGAUUAGCUAGUUGGUAGGGUAAAAGCCUACCAAGGCGACGAUCCAUAGCUGGUCUGAGAGGAUGAUCAGCCACACUGGGACUGAGACACGGCCCAGACUCCUACGGGAGGCAGCAGUGGGGAAUAUUGGACAAUGGGCGAAAGCCUGAUCCAGCAAUGCCGCGUGAGAGAUGAAGGCCUUAGGGUUGUAAAGCUCUUUUACCCGGGAUGAUAAUUACAGUACCGGGAGAAUAAGCUCCGGCUAACUCCGUG